GCCGUCAGUGCAGGAUAAGAAUCCUGUUGUUAAAAAGCUUAACUUUCUUACAUUGGGUCCAAACUGUCCCUGUAUAUGAGAAUGUUACUAUAAUAUUAAUCUGUAACCCUUUUAAGGUGGGUGUUCUCCAUCUAAACUCGUGUUCCAAGUUCGUCACUGAACCCGUCUCCAGGGCGUGUCCGUUUCGUUUGUUGUGCUUGUUAUCAUUCUCCUUCCAUGUCGCGACAGCUCUAUAAUUACGUAUAUAUUUAUAAAUUCGUAUUUGGCGUGAGAUAGGGGCGUGGUAGCGCUCGGGACAGUUUCUUGUCGCCAGUUUUCUGGAGCCGCUUGUCCAGUGAGCGUGUCCGAGAUGCCGAACCACGAGACCACUAGUCUCAUCGCCACCUAUCUCAUCCUGGUGCUGCUCCUCGCCAGCCUCUGGCUGCUCUACUCCGGAAUGUUCUGAGGUGCUACAUUACCAUCAAGAUGUUCUCAAAACAAUACAACAAAUGAGACCAAUGACAUUUAACAAAAUGGCGGAAAGAAAAACGCUAUAAAAUUAAAUAAUUAUAGAAACCGUAAUUUUAGUAUUUAAGCUAUUUUAAGAAAUGUCGUUAUACACCCAAGCAUUUAUAAAAACCUUCGGAUUAUCCGGUGUAAGCUCAAUGCAAAUACAAAUAUUUAGGGCGUCGUGGAAUAAACCAACUAAGUCAGUGCCGGGCAUUCCAAAUGUAAUUAAAAAAGUUUAAAGACAACCAUUUCUCGUCAACAUGACAGCCGUACGUAGGUUAUUGUGUGCAACUCAUCCUUGAAUGUUAUCGUUAUGAACUAAGGGAAAUUUGUAAUAAACUUGUUUUUAUUG